UUAACUUUCAAAUAAUUAUUUCUUAAAGAUUUUAUUGAUAGAGAAAAAGAGUGUGGGCUGGAGAAGGGACAAAGGAAGAGGAAAGGAGAGAAUCUCAAGCAAACUGUGCUGAGGAUGGAGCCCAACUUGGGGCUUAAUCUCAUGACCCUGAGAUCAUGAUCCAAGCCAAAAUCAAAAAAGUUGGACACUUAACUGUCUGAGCCACCCAGGUGCCCCACAAAUGAUGAUUUUAAACUAAAUAUUGAAUUGCAGUCAUGUAAUUCUUUUAUUGGUAAUUUUUUAGUCACUUUUGAAGAUAAAUAUUGAGCUGGGAUGUAAAUGUAUGAGAUUGAUCUUCUAAACGAACAUGUCAGAAACUAAACUACUCAUAUGUAUCAUGCCCUUCAGUGUUGUCAUCUUGGAAACUAUAUGAUAAUGCCGUUUGUGCAGCCAAUAAUUUGUGGAACUCUGUCUCUUAGAAGUUCUUUCAGAUCCAGCUUGCCUGUCAGGCCUCAUAUAAGACUAUGUAAUAUUUUAAGAGAGCCUUCCAUCAUUAGAAUUCAUUGUUUUUCUAGCCCUUUAUCCUUCCUAUCAUUCUAUUAAUUCUGUGCAUGACUUAAGCAAGAAGAAAGCUCAUGCCCCUUCUGUAGUCAUUUCAAGUCUCAGGUCCUUUAGGAGAUUCAACAUCUCAAUAUUCAAUGUUUUGUCUUCUAUUUAAUGGUUUCCUAUACAUAGCUAAUAUCGCCAUGAAUUAAAAUAGGUAGGAAUUCUUCCAGUAUUGUUUUUUUAAAAAGGUUUUAUUUAUUUAUUUCGAAAGAGAGCAUGAGUAGGGGGAUGGAUGGGGGGAGGAGCAGGGGAGAGGGACAAGCAGACUCUACACUGAGUGUGAAGUCCGACUCUGGGCUUGAUCCCAUGGCCCUGAGAUCACUUCCUGAGCCAAAAUCAAGAGUCAGUUGUUAAGCUGACUGAGCCACCCAGGUGCUCCCAGUGUGUGUGUUUCAACUUGCUUCCUAAUAUGUUGUCACCUAAGUGUAUGUACUUGUAUUCUCUUUAAAAGGAUAUUUCAUACUACUUCCUUUCUACUUCAGCAGUAUUACUAAUAGGUAUUUCUGGGGGCACAAUGAAUUAGGUGCUAGUCUCCUUAAACAACUGGAAUUUAAGAGAUUACACAAGACACCAUGACUCAUACCUAGGGACUGUGAAACAUUACAGUGUACAUAAACUCACAGGUAUUUCAGAGUUUUCAGGCAGAGUUAAAAGUUAAAACAAAUGGAACUACCUUAAUAAUGCUGAAAAUAUGGUUUUAAAUGCUUUGGGAAUUAAAUAAUUACAAUGUUAAUAUGCUUGUCAUCAAGAUGCUAAUGUUCACUUGAAGUUUUACAAGCUGAUGGUAUUAUGUUUAUUUCAACUUCAGGUUGUCAUCACAGUUACACACUUCACAGUUUCAGACAUUCUUAGAGUAUAACAGAACAAAAUGGCAGUAUAUGAGUAUGUGUGUGGGUAGGAUGGGAGGGAAGCACACCAUGACUUUUUUCUGAAAAGGUGGAAAAAAAACUCAAUUUCCACUUGUUAGCUUAGGUAGAGAUGAGGCACAAGAGAAAUUAGAAAAUGUUUAGAUAAUAUUGAAAUGAAAAUAAAAUAUGUCAAAGUAUCAGGGAUGUCACUAGACCAGAACUUAAAAUAAAAUUUAUAAUUUUAAGUGUUUUAUUAGAAAAGAAGAAAUAUGUAAAAUAAAUUUUUUAAAAUUCCAUCUUAUGAAGAUAGAAAGAUAUGAACAAAUGACACCCCAAAUAAGUAGGAAGAUGAAAGUAAUAAAUGGAAGAGCACAAAUCAAUGACCUAGAACAGGGGAUCAGACUACAUGCCAAAUCUAGUUAGUGGCAUGUUUCAUAUAGCCCCUAAAGUAAGAAUCAUUUUCAUAUUUUAACAAGUUUUAAAACACACCAACUAGGGGCUCCUGAGUGGCUCAGUGGUUGAGCAUCUGCCUUUGGCUCAGGGUAUGGUCCCGGGAUCCGGGAUUGAGUCUCACAUCAGGCUCCCUGCAGGGAGCCUGCUUCUCCCUCUGCCUAUGUCUCUGCCUCUCUCUCUCUCUCCCUCUCUCUCUCUGUCUUUCUCUCUCUGUGUGUGUCUCUCAUGAAUAAAUCUUUAAAAAAAAAACACAAACUAAACAAAAAGAAAAGAAAAAA
rnacentral:lncRNA from 1 species